CACCUGUGGCCGAACACCAACUGCAGCGCAGUGCCAGGGAGCCAUCAGAAGCAGAAGUCGUGGUCCUGGCAGGUGACUCCAGCCCUCAUGUACCCCGAAGACUCAGGGCAUGUGACGAUGAUGCAUCCUGUGCUUCCAUCAAUGGAGAACUCAUGGGAAGCACAGGAUGCUGCAGUUCCAAUGAAAGCCUUCCAUAUGACAGCAGUGAUCAAGAGAAGAACGUCAUCGAAGUUCAAGCCCUCAUUCAUCCCAUCCCUGCUGAAGCUGCUGACCUGAGCCUGCCAGACACCACAGGCACCAGCCUGGACCCAGUGCUUCUGCAGUGCAGCCCAGCCCAAGCACAGCCUGAAUGCCCCGACAGCAGCAGCACCAUACAGGCUCAGGUCAGCGACGCAGAGGAGAUGACGAGCCCCUUGGAGGGGGGCAUAGAAUCAGGCCACCAGGCCCAGGCUCCAAGUAACAGCAGGAGCUCUGAGCCACUCCCUCCUUAACAACAGAGGAUGAGUCCCAUCUUAAAGCCUGGACCUCUCACGCCCUCCUUUGUCCCAUUGAAUAAAGGCACGCUCGUGCUCAAUCAACA